rnacentral:rRNA from 1 species
GACAGAGGGGGCAAGCGUUGCUCGGAAUCACUGGGCGUAAAGGGCGCGUAGGCGGGUCCGGAAGUCGGUCGUGAAAUCCCUGAGCUCAACUCAGGGGGGUCGGCCGAGACUCCGGGUCUUGAGGGGGGCAGAGGAGCCUGGAAUUCCCGGUGUAGCGGUGAAAUGUGUAGAGAUCGGGAGGAACACCGGUGGCGAAGGCGGGGCUCUGGGCCCACCCUGACGCUGAGGCGCGAAAGCGUGGGGAGCAAACGGGAUUAGAUACCCGAGUAGUCC